rnacentral:rRNA from 1 species
AAAUUGAAGAGUUUGAUCAUGGCUCAGAUUGAACGCUGGCGGCAGGCCUAACACAUGCAAGUCGAACGGUAACAGGAAACAGCUUGCUGUUUCGCUGACGAGUGGCGGACGGGUGAGUAAUGUCUGGGAAACUGCCUGAUGGAGGGGGAUAACUACUGGAAACGGUAGCUAAUACCGCAUAACGUCGCAAGACCAAAGAGGGGGACCUUCGGGCCUCUUGCCAUCGGAUGUGCCCAGAUGGGAUUAGCUUGUUGGUGGGGUAACGGCUCACCAAGGCGACGAUCCCUAGCUGGUCUGAGAGGAUGACCAGCCACACUGGAACUGAGACACGGUCCAGACUCCUACGGGAGGCAGCAGUGGGGAAUAUUGCACAAUGGGCGCAAGCCUGAUGCAGCCAUGCCGCGUGUAUGAAGAAGGCCUUCGGGUUGUAAAGUACUUUCAGCGGGGAGGAAGGGAGUAAAGUUAAUACCUUUGCUCAUUGACGUUACCCGCAGAAGAAGCACCGGCUAACUCCGUGCCAGCAGCCGCGGUAAUACGGAGGGUGCAAGCGUUAAUCGGAAUUACUGGGCGUAAAGCGCACGCAGGCGGUUUGUUAAGUCAGAUGUGAAAUCCCCGGGCUCAACCUGGGAACUGCAUCUGAUACUGGCAAGCUUGAGUCUCGUAGAGGGGGGUAGAAUUCCAGGUGUAGCGGUGAAAUGCGUAGAGAUCUGGAGGAAUACCGGUGGCGAAGGCGGCCCCCUGGACGAAGACUGACGCUCAGGUGCGAAAGCGUGGGGAGCAAACAGGAUUAGAUACCCUGGUAGUCCACGCCGUAAACGAUGUCGACUUGGAGGUUGUGCCCUUGAGGCGUGGCUUCCGGAGCUAACGCGUUAAGUCGACCGCCUGGGGAGUACGGCCGCAAGGUUAAAACUCAAAUGAAUUGACGGGGGCCCGCACAAGCGGUGGAGCAUGUGGUUUAAUUCGAUGCAACGCGAAGAACCUUACCUGGUCUUGACAUCCACAGAACUUUCCAGAGAUGGAUUGGUGCCUUCGGGAACUGUGAGACAGGUGCUGCAUGGCUGUCGUCAGCUCGUGUUGUGAAAUGUUGGGUUAAGUCCCGCAACGAGCGCAACCCUUAUCCUUUGUUGCCAGCGGUCCGGCCGGGAACUCAAAGGAGACUGCCGGUGAUAAACUGGAGGAAGGUGGGGAUGACGUCAAGUCAUCAUGGCCCUUACGACCAGGGCUACACACGUGCUACAAUGGCGCAUACAAAGAGAAGCGACCUCGCGAGAGCAAGCGGACCUCAUAAAGUGCGUCGUAGUCCGGAUUGGAGUCUGCAACUCGACUCCAUGAAGUCGGAAUCGCUAGUAAUCGUGGAUCAGAAUGCCACGGUGAAUACGUUCCCGGGCCUUGUACACACCGCCCGUCACACCAUGGGAGUGGGUUGCAAAAGAAGUAGGUAGCUUAACCUUCGGGAGGGCGCUUACCACUUUGUGAUUCAUGACUGGGGUGAAGUCGUAACAAGGUAACCGUAGGGGAACCUGCGGUUGGAUCACCUCCUUA